GAUGAAGAACGUAGCGAAAUGCGAUAAGUAAUGUGAAUUGCAGAAUUCAGUGAAUCAUCGAAUCUUUGAACGCACAUUGCGCCCUCUGGUAUUCCGGGGGGCAUGCCUGUUCGAGCGUCAUUACAACCCUCAAGCUCUGCUUGGUAUUGGGCUCUGCCGGUCCUGGCAGGCCUCAAAGUCAGUGGCGGUGCCAUCCGGCUCCAAGCGUAGUAAUUCUUCUCGCUUCGGAGGCCGCGGUGCGUGCUAGCCAGCAACCCCCAAUUUUUUUCAGGUUGACCUCGGAUCAGGUAGGGAUACCCGCUGAACUUAAGCAUAUCAAUAAGCGGAGGA
rnacentral:misc_RNA from 1 species